rnacentral:RNase_P_RNA from 1 species
CCAGUAGGCCGGGUGGCCGCCCCGACUUGUCGGGGAGGAAGGUCCGAGCUCCAAUCGGGCAGCGCGCUGGGUAACUCCCAGGCGGGGCGACCCGACGGAAAGUGGCACAGAAACAUACCGCCGCGAGCGAUCGCGGUAAGGGUGAAAUGGUGGGGUAAGAGCCCACCGGCGUCGGUGAGAGCCGGCGGCCGGCCAAACCCCGCGCGGAGCAAGGCCAAAUAGGAGGGCGCUAAGGGUGCCCGACCCAGACCCUCGGGUUGGCUGCUUGAGGCUUCGGGUAACCGGAGCCCUAGAUUGAUGGUCACCGUCCG